UACGUAGGGGGCGAGCGUUGUCCGGAAUCAUUGGGCGUAAAGCGCGUGUAGGCGGCUCGAUAAGUCUGCUGUGAAAGUCCAGGGCUCAACCCUGGAAAGCCGGUGGAAACUGUCGGGCUAGAGUCCGGAAGAGGCGAGUGGAAUUCCUGGUGUAGCGGUGAAAUGCGCAGAUAUCAGGAGGAACACCAAUGGCGAAGGCAGCUCGCUGGGACGGUACUGACGCUGAGACGCGAAAGCGUGGGGAGCGAACAGG
rnacentral:rRNA from 1 species